CCCUUAGAUGUUCUGGGCUGCACGCGUGCUACACUGAUAUUGCCAAUAUGUCAUUCUUAUCCGAAAUGGAUUGGGUAAUCAAGUAAUGAAAUUUCAUGCUUGGAAUCGGUAAUUGCAAUUUUAUCGUGAACGAGGAAUUCCUAGUAAGCACUAGUCAUCAGCUAAUGUUGAUUAUGUCCCUGCCCUUUGUACACACCGCCCGUCGCUACUACUGAUUGGGUGUUCAAGUGAGAUGCUUAGACCCUUGUUGCAUGGUUCAUUGUUGUGCUCCGAAAGGAAAAAGUUUCAAGCUUGAGUGUCUAGAGGAAGUAAAAGUCGUAACA
rnacentral:rRNA from 1 species